GACGAACGCUGGCGGCGUGCUUAACACAUGCAAGUCGAGCGGUAAGGCCUUCGGGUACACGAGCGGCGAACGGGUGAGUAACACGUGGGUGAUCUGCCUCGUACUUCGGGAUAAGCCUGGGAAACUGGGUCUAAUACCGGAUAUGACCUUCCACUGCAUGGUGGUUGGUGGAAAGAUUUAUCGGUACGAGAUGGGCCCGCGGCCUAUCAGCUUGUUGGUGGGGUAAUGGCCUACCAAGGCGACGGCGGGUAGCCGACCUGAGAGGGUGACCGGCCACACUGGGACUGAGACACGGCCCAGACUCCUACGGGAGGCAGCAGUGGGGAAUAUUGCACAAUGGGCGGAAGCCUGAUGCAGCGACGCCGCGUGCGGGAUGACGGCCGUCGGGUUGUAAACCGCUUUCGACAGGGACGAAGCGAGAGUGACGGUACCUGUAGAAAAAGCACCGGCUAACUACGUGCCAGCCGCCGCUGUAAAAC
rnacentral:rRNA from 1 species